GAUUCUCGGAGCGGACAGGGAUGCUCUCCCGGUCCUCCGGUAGGCGCGCCUCCUUUCGUAGCCCCGGCCCCUGAUGAACGGCAGCAUCAGUCAAAACGCCCACUGGGAGGCACCAGCCCUAAAUAGGUGUUUUUCACACUACAGGUUCAUGGGCAGAGAAUUCAAUGUAAUAGACUGGGAUCAGCAAUAUAAGAAAAUCAUAGAUAAAUAUAUCAGAGUGACCUGCCCAUGGAA